rnacentral:rRNA from 1 species
UACGUAGGGUGCAAGCGUUGUCCGGAAUUAUUGGGCGUAAAGAGCUUGUAGGCGGUUUGUCGCGUCUGCUGUGAAAUUUCGGGGCUCAACCCCGAACUUGCAGUGGGUACGGGCAGACUAGAGUGUGGUAGGGGAGACUGGAAUUCCUGGUGUAGCGGUGAAAUGCGCAGAUAUCAGGGGGAACACCGAUGGCGAAGGCAGGUCUCUGGGCCACUACUGACGCUGAGAAGCGAAAGCAUGGGGAGCGAACAGG